rfam:Myotis lucifugus cont2.38939, whole genome shotgun sequence.
GGGUGUGAGUGCCAUCUGGCUGUGAAAUCAGUCACCUCAUUGAUUGCCAGGUUUGAUUCAGCUGAUCUGCUUGGCUAGAUGGUGUCCCUUUCUUCCUUUCACAUCCAUGGGCACUUCUCCUGAAGCUGUGAGAUCAGUAAAAGAAAACCUUCCCCAAAAGAGGAUGUUACUGUAAGA